rnacentral:rRNA from 1 species
GCUUGUCUCAAAGAUUAAGCCAUGCAUGUCUAAGUAUAAACGACUUUAUACUGUGAAACUGCGAAUGGCUCAUUAUAUCAGUUAUAGUUUCUUUGAUGGUCCUUGCUACUUGGAUAACCGUAGUAAUUCUAGAGCUAAUACAUGCAUCAAGCCCCGACUUCUGGAAGGGGUGUAUUUAUUAGAUGGAAACCAAUGCAGGGCAACCUGGAAUAUGGUGAUUCAUAAUAACUCGCGGAUCGGUUUACCGAUGCAUCAUUCAAGUUUCUGCCCUAUCAGCUUUGGAUGGUAGGGUAUUGGCCUACCAUGGCUUUAACGGGUAACGGAGAAUUAGGGUUCGAUUCCGGAGAGGGAGCCUGAGAAAUGGCUACCACAUCCAAGGAAGGCAGCAGG